rnacentral:lncRNA from 1 species
AGGGGCUAAAACAAAUCCAGAAACAGUGUGUAAAGAAAUCCAAAAGGUUGGAAGCACUGGGAACAUUGAGAAGACAUCUUCCAGGUGGUGACUUGAGGAACAUUAAUCCCCAUUAAUUACUCCCCAUAAACUAACUCAAGGCUUGUGCCCCCAACUUUAGAAAAUUUGCAGCAUCCGCAUGGCCUGGCCACCUGUUGUAAUGCAGACGCUGGAACACGACUCUAGAUCCACAACUCCUCAGCUGUAACUUCACUUGAGCCCCUAAGUAACGGGUGUACAUUGUAGAUGAGAGAUGUGCUCAGAGUGUUGGCCAAGAAGCUGCAUGGAACAGCAAGUCUGGUCCAAAGACAUGAUGCCUGGCAUUCCCGAUAGGGACCCGCUGUUCUUCAACAUUAAAAAGAAGAAGAAGAAAACAACUCUGUGGACCAGAUGUGGUGGUGCUUGCCUGUAACCCCAGCCUUGGGGAGCUGAGUUACCUGCACAAGGUGAAGUCAGCAAGAUCAGUCAACAUCAGUGCACACAGAGCCAACCAGACUCAAGAGAGUUACAAAAGAAGAGAAAAAGGAGACCAGCAAGAUCAAUCAACAUUCAUGCACACAGAGCCACCAGACUCAAGAGAAUUACAAAAGAAAAAGGAGAGCACCGGAAAUUGGGUGAGGGCUGUGUUGGGAAGUUCCUAAAGGGGGGUUGGGAGGGAAGAGUUGGGGGGGUG